AAAUACUUGAUUAGAUUUUUCCCUUUUCGUUUCGGGCUCUUAACUUCUCGCCUGUGUUAUGUCCACAACAGGGUCAACAUGUAAUUUGGCUCAGUUACUUCAUUUGCAUUUGUCACGCUCGUUAGUCCUACGGUAUUCCCAAUGGGAAGUACGUAGUUUUCGAUAUCCAAUGACAGUCACGUGACCGGAAUUCCUCACUGGACCCAAAAACAAAAAACUAACGCCGAGUAAAGUUCAAGUAAUGCUUACUAAGCUGAAAAGUUCUGUUCUCGCCGGAAUGCAGGCAUAGAAAUGUAUUUUUAAAAAUGUAACGCAGAAGCGACAACAUCACAGGACUUGGGACUCUUGGUCCUUGAGCUCAUAAAUAAAUAUAAAAAUUAUUGUAAUAGUUUUCAAGCUUCUGGUUGUACUUGGCAGCAGGCAGAGUAUAAACACCCAAGGAAAGCUCUCUGGGCUGAAAU
ensembl:ncRNA lncRNA:CR45653 long non-coding RNA:CR45653